AUCACUUCUUGGGCUUUUGGCUAAGAUCAAGUGUAGUAUCUGUUCUUAUCAGUUUAAUAUCUGAUAUGUCCUCUAUCUGAAGACAAUAUAGUAAAUAGAUUUUUGGAGUUCAGAGUUGGAAUAGGAACUUGUUCCAUCCACUCCACUCAUCGACCUGAUAUUGCAGUACCACUAGGUAUGGUGCACCUCCU